rnacentral:rRNA from 1 species
UACGAAGGGGGCUAGCGUUGCUCGGAAUCACUGGGCGUAAAGCGCAUGUAGGCGGCUUUUUAAGUCAGGGGUGAAAUCCUGGAGCUCAACUCCAGAACUGCCUUUGAUACUGAGAAGCUUGAGUCCGGGAGAGGUGAGUGGAACUGCGAGUGUAGAGGUGAAAUUCGUAGAUAUUCGCAAGAAUACCAGUGGCGAAGGCGGCUCACUGGACCGGUAUUGACGCUGAGGUGCGAAAGCGUGGGGAGCAAACAGG